AAUCACUUUCCAAGACCCCACCUUCUGGUACUACCACUUUGAGAAUUAGGAUUUCAACACACGGUAUGAAUUUUAGGGUGACACAAACAUUCAGACCAUAGCACUUCCUCUUCAGUUUUUUGGAAAAGUAUGAAAAGGAUAAACAAUCCUAAAAGUCAUAUGGAACCAUGAAGAAUCUGAAUUGUCAAGCCAAUCUUAAGCAAAAAGAAGACAUAACAACCAAUGGAACAGAAGAGAGAGGCCAAAAAUAAACUCAUGAAUCUCUGGUCAGCUGAUUUUCAACAAAGGUGCCAAGAAUGCAUAAUAGGAAAAGGACUGUCUCUUCAAUAAAGUGUCAUGGGAAAAAUUGGAUAUCUAUGUGCAGAAGAAUGAAAUGUGAC
rnacentral:lncRNA from 1 species